rnacentral:rRNA from 1 species
GAUAAGUCUCAUAGUCAAGAGGGAAACAGCCCAGACCGCCGACUAAGGUCCCGAAAUUGCAGCUAAGUGGGAAAGGAUGUGGGUUUGCUAAGACAACUAGGAUGUUGGCUUAGAAGCAGCCAUUCAUUGAAAGAGUGCGUAAUAGCUCACUAGUCGAGUGAGCCUGCGCCGAAAAUUCACGGGGCUAAGCUGCAUACCGAAGUCGCGGAUUCUAGAAACUAGAAACUAGAGACUAGGAACUAGAAACGAGGGGAAUAAAUGUUAAGUAAUUUCAGGGAUUUAAAAGUAUAUCAAAAGGCGUAUCAAGUGUCGCUUGGUAUACAUGAAAUGAGCUUAAAAUUCCCUCAGUUUGAGAAAGUUGAGUUAGGGAACCAAAUAAGAAGAGCAAGCAAAUCCAUUGCUAUGAAUAUAGCGGAAGGAUUUGGGAGAAGAGGUUCCGUAGCAGAUUUCAAAAGGUUUCUGGUAAUGGCUUUAGGUUCUUGUGAUGAGAUACGAGUGCAGCUGGAUUAUUGCAGAGAUUUGAGCUAUAUAACAGAAAACCAAUACGAAGAAUACAGCAAAGCAUAUGAUGAGAUUGGAAGAAUGUUGAAAGCAUGCUCAAAAGAUGGAGAAAGUAAUCUAGUAAUUAGCAUCUAAUAUCUAAAUCUAGUACCUAGUAUCUAGUAUCUAGUUUCUAGAGUGGUAGGGGAGCAUAGUAUACGGGCAGAAGCAUGACCGAAAGGACAUGUGGACUGUAUAGUAGAGAGAAUGCCGGAAUGAGUAGCGAAAGUGAAGUGAGAAUCUUUACCGCCGAAUACCUAAGGUUUCCUGGGGAAGGCUCGUCCGCCCAGGGUUAGUCGGGACCUAAGCUGAGGCCGAAAGGCGUAGGCGAUGGACAACAGGUUGAUAUUCCUGUACCACCGUUAUCCGUUUGAGAGAAGGGGGGACGCAGGGAGAUAGAGUGAACGAGUAACUGGAAGUACUCGUCCAAGAGGAAUAGAAAGUCUGGCAGGCAAAUCCGCCGGAUGAUUCGAAGCCUUGAUGGGUAGGGAAAAUAUAGUACCGAAGCACUCGAUUCUGCACUGACAAGAAAAGCCUCUAUCGAGAAUAAAGGUGCCCGUACCGCAAACCGACACAGGUAGAUGAGGAGAGAAUCCUAAGGCGAGCGGGAGAAGCGUUGUUAAGGAACUCGGCAAAUUGACCCCGUAAGUUCGCGAGAAGGGGUGCCUGAAGCGGAGCAAUCCGUGGAGGGCCGCAGAGAAAUGGCCCAAGCAACUGUUUAUCAAAAACACAGGUCUCUGCUAAAUCGAAAGAUGAGGUAUAGGGGCUGACGCCUGCCCGGUGCUGGAAGGUUACGGGAAUCUGUUAGUCGAAAGGCGAAGCAGUGAACUUAAGCCCCAGUAAACGGCGGCCGUAACUAUAACGGUCCUAAGGUAGCGAAAUUCCUUGUCGGGUAAGUUCCGACCCGCACGAAUGGCGUAAUGGUUUGGGCACUGUCUCGACAACGCGCCCGGUGAAAUUGUAGUACUCGUGAAGAUGCGAGUUACCCGCGACUAGACGGAAAGACCCCAUGGAGCUUUACUGUAGCCUGAUACUGUAUUUCGAUAUUUCAUGUACAGGAUAGGAGGGAGGCUAAGAAGCCAGGACGCUAGUUCUGGUGGAGCCAACGUUGGGAUACCUCUCUUGGAGUAUUGGGAUACUAACCAGGAGCCAUGAACUGGUUCUGGGACAAUGUCAGGUGGGCAGUUUGACUGGGGCGGUCGCCUCCCAAAGAGUAACGGAGGCGCCCCAAGGUUACCUCAGCACGGUUGGAAAUCGUGCGACGAGUGCAAAGGCAGAAGGUAGCCUGACUGCGAGACCAACAAGUCGAGCAGGUACGAAAGUAGGGCUUAGUGAUCCGGCGGUAUGAGAGUGGAAUUGCCGUCGCUCAACGGAUAAAAGCUACCCUGGGGAUAACAGGCUUAUCUCCCCCAAGAGUCCACAUCGACGGGGAGGUUUGGCACCUCGAUGUCGGCUCAUCGCAUCCUGGAGCUGAAUUCGGUUCCAAGGGUUUGGCUGUUCGCCAAUUAAAGCGGUACGCGAGCUGGGUUCAGAACGUCGUGAGACAGUUCGGUCCCUAUCUGUCGUGGGCGUAGGAUAUUUGAAGGG